rnacentral:lncRNA from 1 species
UAUCUAAAUUGCUUUAAAUAUGUUUAUACAUGUGCAGAAUACUUUUGACAACAAUGCAAUGCUGAAACAGGAAAAUAUGCAAAAAAUGAAAGCUGUGGAAAUUUGCAGUAAAAAUGGACUUUUUUCUGCUUCGAGAUUACCUCUUGGAUCGUUGUGUGUGGGAUAAGUGAAACAAUGUACAAGAAUAUAUUAGGCAGACAGAAGGUGCAACCAGAGAUGGUCACGUUUUAACAGAUAUUCUAUUUCAGAAAAAAAAAAACAAUUGAAAUGAAGCGAUGCGAAAACGACAGCAAAUGACAUAUUUACAUGGACUUGGCAUUGCAUAUUUACACGGGUCAUUAACAAAUCAUUGUAAAGACUUUAUAACCCAUGUGUAUAAUAUCUACAUGAAGUGUGGGAUCCCAAGACAGUGCGACCUACUUUAAGGUCACAACAGAUAACAGAAUGUUUCUAUACCUUCAUCAAGUAUGUACCUGUGUAAUAUAUCAGUACAGCAAGAUAAUGGAGCGAGACAAAUUAUAUAUGCAAGGUUGCAUAUUCACGUUCGAGAAUAUUCGUUGCAAACUGCCUAUGUCAAACAGAAUCUGGAUUUUCAUACCCAACGUUGUUUUUUUCUUAUUGUAACAAGAUAUGUAACUUACAACAAGAUGACUGACUGUAACGAUAAAACAGAUCCUUGAUUGUAACGACAAGAUCACGGAUUCUUACCACAACACAUAAAAAAUUAUGUCAAAAAACGUGUAAACAACGAGGUCUCCAAAAUACCGAAUACAUGUUGUAAAGUAGAUGUGAAAUACGGAAGAAGCAAAAUCUGUUCAAUAUUUGUUUAAAAACUACAUACACGAAAGACACGUCAUCAAACUUCGAUGGAAUUCAGCUCACAUAUAAUGAAGCUAAUGAUUAAUAUGUGCAUUGAAGAACAGUAGUAAACAACACAAAUAUAAAAUCUGUAUACUUCUCUUAUCUCACAGAGUAUCAAACAACAACGGUAAAAGUGGUAUUUACCAUUCCAAUUACCACAAACAAUUGAAAAAACAAAGCUUUAAAUGAUCGAAGUGAUAUACCUUUACAGCACAGAAUCUCUUCCAUAAUUUAUAAACACGUGAGUUAGUAAUAAAGAUAGCGAGGCGGCAGAUCGAUAUGUCUGUGGUGUAAAUGUCGAUACUAAGCAGCGAGAAGUUCGCUAUGUAAGCAGCGGAAUGUGAACAAUGCUGUAUCGUAAACACCAGAAUUUUCUGGCGACCCCCAAAAGGGGUCAAGCAGGGACAAUUUGAACAAAGUCUUGUUAUGAUACAAACCAAGCUUGGUGAAGAUCCAUCAUCUGGUUCGUGAGAAGAAGACAUUCGAAUUGUUUUCUACUUUUACCUCAUGACGAAUCGGAACCAUUUGAAUAAGUUUUUGAGAGGACCUUAUAAGGAUGCUACAAACCCAGCUUGAUGAAGAUCAACCACCUCGUUCUUAAGAAGAAGUCAUUUCAAGAUUGUUCAUCAUUUAGCUAUAGGAAGCCAUAAAAAGUGGCCAAGGGCAAUCAUUUGACAGAGAUGCUAUAGGAUGCUACAGAGAGAUGAUGCUACAGACUCGCCUGGUUCAUGAGAUGUUGUUUAUAAUUAUACAGAUUUUUAUGUGUUAGGCUUUGGUGGCCACUGCACUGUUAGGAGGCGUAACGCAACCAUUUGAAAAAAUAACAAGAGAGAACUUUAUAAGAAUAUUAUAGUUCAAGUUCGAGAAGAUCCAUAACUCAUGCUCAAGCGGUCCAUAAAAGGGGCCACGUGUACAAAUUUGAAAAAGCUUGGGAUGGGACCUUACAAUUAUACUACAAACCAAGUGCACCUAUUCGAAUACAAUUGAUACAGAACCUUGCCAGUAUGCUAGACCAGGUUUAUUGUUAUUCUGACUGGUAGUUCCAGAUGGGAAGACGUUGGCAACGGAGAACGGACGCUGGGCUAUACGCUUCUACUACUGAUGAGCUAAAAUGUUUGACCAUUACCAUAUGAAGAUAGUCUCCUGAUUUGUGCAUAAAUUCUGUUUAAUAUUAUAACAUUAUUCAUUCCCAUUUCUUUCUUGUUUGAAUGUUAUUGCAUUUAAUCUUUAAAACACAGACAUUAACAUUAAAAGUGAUUAACAAAUAAAGUUUUCCAGAUAUUUUCAAACUUGAAAUCUCUUCAUAUAGGACUUUGUAUUGGCUUGCGAAUAUAUCUCUAAGCGAAGGACGUCGGUUACUCUCAAAUUUAUCGUAUACGCUCAUAGACAUUUAUAAUCGUUCACCUAUGACUUUCAUAUAUUUCGUUAAGACUACGCUGAAAAUAAAACAAUAAAGUAUACCAUGCAUGGUUGACUUACGCCAUUUUAAUGGAAAUUUACCCUCACGAAUAAAUAGCAUAUGGGAACAAAGGUGAUCAAGAAAAUUUCAAUCGUGUAAUUUUUAUAUAGUUAAAGUUUUCGCAAUUACAACAGUGACCGAUUAAAAGUGACCAUAGACUUGGGGGUCAAUUAUUUGAUGAAUCUACCUGAUGCAUUCUUGUUGUAGAGUAUCCCCUGAGGUACAGUGUGUGUGCGUGCGUGUGUGUGUGGAAAGCUGAAAACAUUGGCAGGGGAUCAUUUAAAGAUAGUCUUAACGCUUAUUUCAAAACCUAUCCAAGUGUUUUUGAUAAAAACAUUUUCAAAGUUUUGCCUUUCUGCAUUGACUGAAUUUCUUUCAACACAGUGUGAGAACAUCUAUGCCUAGUUUAAUCAACUUCCACUAUAUUUAAUUUCAAGGGGUGUGUUACGAGGGACACUCCACGGGCGGUGAGUGAUCACAAUACUUUCUGCUCCUUUGGUGAACUAAAAAAGUACGUUUUGCCUGUAUACCGAGGUUUUCCCUUCCAGUUCGUUCGGUUAAAUGAUAUUACAAAAGUCAAUACAAUACAACUGAAAAAAUCAAGAGGGUCAUGAUGACCCUGGAUCGCUCACCUGAGUAAUAUGAACUAGAUGUUUCAAAUGUCAAACUGAUACUGAAAUAUUAAGUCAGUAGGUCACAUUCAUGGUCAAUGAAA